UUUACAAUGGAGAGUUUGAUCCUGGCUCAGGAUGAACGCUAGCUACAGGCUUAACACAUGCAAGUCGAGGGGAAACGACAUCGAAAGCUUGCUUUUGAUGGGCGUCGACCGGCGCACGGGUGAGUAA
rnacentral:rRNA from 1 species